rnacentral:lncRNA from 1 species
UUAAUACUCUUGCGAAACGGAAUACUCUAGAAGGCAGAUGGAGUGGUAAAUGUCAAAAUUUCAACUGGAUAAUGGAUGUUCUUGCCUCUUGCAAUUGUCGAUUACUGUUAUAUAAUUUAGUGGACAUGAUAUUGAAACUGGUUUGUCUACACUGACAAUUUUGAGAUCUUUCAGCAAAGAACAAACUUCGAAUUUACAAUCCCAUGUGUUUUUACGCUGUAUGUUACUCGUUAGCGAGAAAUAUCUCAGGAAUUUGUUGAGUACAUGUACAGCAUGUAAACUAUGUAAAGUUGUAAACUGCUUUAUUAAUAUUGCUGACUGUGCUGUGACACAAAUGUGCAAGCAACUAUUGUGCAAGUUGCCCAAAUGUAAGAAGUGUUUAUAUUCAAUAAUUAUAAAUCAAACAAAGUUAUACAAUUUAUAUUGUUGCUGUAUUAUGUUAGAUGUUAUGCUCAAGAUUUUUCUACUGCAUUACUGCAUCUGC